UUGCCAGCCGCCGCGGUAAUACGUAGGGUGCAAGCGUUAAUCGGAAUUACUGGGCGUAAAGCGUGCGCAGGCGGUUUUGUAAGACAGGCGUGAAAUCCCCGGGCUCAACCUGGGAAUGGCGCUUGUGACUGCAAAGCUGGAGUGCGGCAGAGGGGGAUGGAAUUCCGCGUGUAGCAGUGAAAUGCGUAGAUAUGCGGAGGAACACCGAUGGCGAAGGCAAUCCCCUGGGCCUGCACUGACGCUCAUGCACGAAAGCGUGGGGAGCAAACAGGAUUAGAAACCCGUGUAGUCC
rnacentral:rRNA from 1 species